AGUGUGACAAUCAUCAUUUCUCACCAGAGCAUUUGCUCCACAGGAAAGAAGUAAUAGAACAGUCUUCUCCUGGCCUCUUUUGGCUGCUUGAUGCAAAAGAGUACCCGCAUGACGCCCAGGACUAUUUUCCCUCUUCUUCUUCUUCUUCUAAGAGGAGUGGAGAGGGCAAAGGUGGAAACUUCCAAUCAGAGCUGUGGAUUUAAUAAUAUUGCCGCAGAGGCAGA
rnacentral:misc_RNA from 1 species